rnacentral:rRNA from 1 species
GGAGUCACGCCAGAAAUCUUACCCGGAGAGACAGCAGAAUGAAGGUCAAGCUGAAGACUUUACCAGACAAGCUGAGAGGUGGUGCAUGGCCGUCGCCAGCUCGUGCCGUGAGAUGUCCUGUUAAGUCAGGUAACGAGCGAGAUCCCUGCCUCUAGUUGCCACCAUUACUCUCAGGAGUAGUGGGGCGAAUUAGCGGGACCGCCGCAGUUAAUGCGGAGGAAGGAAGGGGCCACGGCAGGUCAGUAUGCCCCGAAACUCUGGGGCCACACGCGGGCUGCAAUGGUAGCGACAAUUGGUUUCGAAUCCGAAAGGAUGAGGUAAUCCACAAACGCUACCACAGUUAUGACUGAGGGCUGCAACUCGCCCUCACGAAUAUGGAAUCCCCAGUAACUGCGUGUCAUUAUCGCGCGGUGAAUACGUCCCUGCUCCUUGCACACACCGCCCGUCGUUUCAUUGAAGUGAGCUUUUAGCGAGGUGACGUCUGAUUGGCGUUAUCGAACUUGAGGUUCGUGACAAGGGAAAAGUCGUAACAAGGUGACCGUAGGGGAACCUGCGGUCGGAUCA